GAGGCCCCACCGCCCGCGCGCCUCACCCGGGUUGUCCCAGCGCCCGAGCCGCUCUGCGGGGCCCGAGGGAGAUGCAGGCUCGGCGCGGGGGCCUCGGACCUCAGCCCCCUUUCCUCCUCGACGUCCCCGGCUCCCGCCAGGCGAACUAUUCGUACGUAACAUUACACUAUUUCGCAAGGCUUCUUAACCCCACAAAAUUAACACAGGUAAAAAAUUUUAAAUCAAAACAAAAACAGAAAAAGAAUCUGUUAAAGCAAUAUUAACUUUUUUA
rnacentral:lncRNA from 1 species